UUGUGACCGUUGUAACGGGCAUUGAAUGGCAUUCUCUAUGCCACUUUGCAACGAGCACAGC
rnacentral:pre_miRNA from 1 species